rnacentral:tRNA from 1 species
GCCUGGGUAGCUCAGCUGGUAGAGCAGCAGACUGAAAAUCUGCGUGUCGGUGGUUCAACUCCGCCCCUAGGCACCA